rnacentral:rRNA from 1 species
GACGAACGCUGGCGGCGUGCUUAACACAUGCAAGUCGAACGGAAAGGCCCUGCUUUUGUGGGGUGCUCGAGUGGCGAACGGGUGAGUAACACGUGAGUAACCUGCCCUUGACUUUGGGAUAACUUCAGGAAACUGGGGCUAAUACCGGAUAGGAGCUCCUGCUGCAUGGUGGGGGUUGGAAAGUUUCGGCGGUUGGGGAUGGACUUCCGGUUAAUCAGCUUGUUGGUUGGGUAGUGGCUUACCCAGGCUUCGACGGGUAGCCGGCCUGAGAGGGUGACCGGCCACAAUAGGACUGAGAUACGGCCCAGACUGCUACGGGAGGCAGCAGUGGGGAGUAUUACACAGUGGGCGGAAGCCUGAUGCAGCGGCGCCGCGUGCGGGAUGACGGCCUUCGGGUUGUAAACCGCUUUCGCCUGUGACGAAGCGUGAGUGACGGUAAUGGGUAAAGAAGCACCGGCUAACUACGUG